GUGAAAUUCUGCGUGACUUCCACAUGCUGUAAUGUGCGCGCGCGCAGAACUGGAGCGGAGGACGUCACCAUGGAAACGAGGCGGCAGCCCAACCGUCAAGCAGCUGAUCGCUGACACUCAAUGUGGUUUCACUUUUUUUUUUAGAAAUGGUUUAGCGUCGUCAGAAAAAGUCCGUUAGCAUCUCAAAGAAGUGCCAGAAAAAAACCUCUAUGACGCAGGAGAAGUUCCUGAUUUUAACAUUUCUGAAGGGAGCUGCUGACAGAGAGGAUGAAAACAUACACAUUUUGAUGUCCACGCUGUAGGAGCAUUACUAAAUAAGUUCUUCCAUGCUGAUGGCUGUGCUCUAGUCAUAUCUCCUGUCGAAGAACAUUUUUAGACAUUAUGAACCAUGAAUAGUAAGCAAUUCGUCAAACAUACACCAUUCAAAAAUGUAAGGGUCAGAUUUGUCAUGUAUUUCAAAGACAUCUUUUAUGCUCACCAC